rnacentral:tRNA from 1 species
GGAGCAAUAAUCCUAAUUGGUAAGGAGCGGGUCUUGAAAAUCCGUAGUAGCCGUUCGCGCGGUGUUUGAGUUCGAGCCUCAAUUGCUCCG